rnacentral:lncRNA from 1 species
ACAAUGCACCAUGUUGAAGGGUUAUCCUGUUAAUGCUCAUUUUUUCCUCUGAUCCAUAACUUACUCAAUUUUUAUGGAAAAUGUCAGCAUCUGUUCUAUCAGUAAGAAAGAACAAGCAGGACACAUUAAAGGUUCUUUGUCAGCUAUUUUCAUUGCCAAUGAAAUGUAUUCAGUAUUGUAGAUAAUAAACCAGUUUUCCCACACAGAAGGCAGGAAGAAUUUUGAUUCUGUCCUUUUUUUACUUGACAGUUUUACUAUGACACUAGACCCAGUAGAUUUUUAGGGGAACAUACGAUUAAUAGUAUCAUGGUGAACCAUUCAACUGUUGAUCUAGUCACUGAUAUCUAGAAGACACCACAAUCAGUUUACUUACAACAACCACAUCAUCAGUUGCUUUUGUAGAGCAUCAGCAUCAUGUUUUCAAUGUUGUGGUCCUGGAUGUCCAGCUGGGGCUACCCAGGGGCCCGCAUGUCUGCAUGGGAGGAAAGGCUCCACCUGCCCUUAGCUCAAGAAGCAGAGCUUGUGCUAUGCACGGGAUGUGUGAGCGGUGCCCAGGCCGUUCCACACAGACACCUCAGUGUUGGACCUGUGAUGAAAGUUUCUGAGAAAUACUUUUGUUCCAAACCAUUAAGUAAUGUAACGCAUGUAAAACACGUAGAGUGCCUGGCACCGUGCAAGGACUCAGUGGUUCACUAUUGUGACAGUAAUGGUUAUUACAAUAAAAAUAAUAAAAUCACCAUCAUUCUAUUUUUAUCCAAAAGUAUAAAUUUUGCUUUGGCAUGAAAAAUGAUUCCCUUGACUGCAUCAUGCAUGUGCGGAAAAAAAUAAAUCCAGAAGUAGCAGAACCCUAGCUCUGUUUGUGUGACACAGGAGGGUAUUAGACUAUGAGGUUGUGGUCUGGUAAGUCACUUAGCUGGCUCUGCUUAAAUGUAUUUAGAGACAUGACCUCAGAGAAUACCUAGUGUGAACAUUCUAAGUUGUACUGUUCUUAACAGACAUGAAAGAUCUCAGGUAAAU